rnacentral:rRNA from 1 species
AGAGUUUGAUUCUGGCUCAGGAUGAACGCUGGCGGCGUGCUUAACACAUGCAAGUCGAACGGAGCUUUAACGGAAGUUUUCGGAUGGAAGUUUAGAAACUUAGUGGCGGACGGGUGAGUAACGCGUGGGUAACCUGCCUCAUACAGGGGGAUAACAGUUAGAAAUGACUGCUAACACCGCAUAAUAUAGCGAAACCGCAUGAUUUUGCUAUCAAAUAUUUAUAGGUAUGAGAUGGGCCCGCGUCUGAUUAGCUAGUUGGUGGGGUAAAAGCCUACCAAGGCGACGAUCAGUAGCCGGCUUGAGAGAGUGACCGGCCACAUUGGGACUGAGACACGGCCCAAACUCCUACGGGAGGCAGCAGUGGGGAAUAUUGGACAAUGGGGGAAACCCUGAUCCAGCCGACGCCGCGUGAGUGAAGAAGUAUUUCGGUAUGUAAAGCUCUAUCAGCAGGGAAGAUAAUGACAGUACCUGACUAAGAAGCCCCGGCUAACUACGUGCCAGCCGCCGC